GAUAUAUUAUUAUUAUUUUUUCUGAAUAUUUUCUAUCCAUGGUUAGUUGAAUCCUUGAAUGUGAAACCUGUAGAUACCGAGGGCCAACUGUAGACUAUAUUCAUGGAAAGAAAUAAUAACAUGGGAAAUUUAUUCUGGUAUAAUAUAAUAAGUGGAAAAAAGUAAAGACAGGUGUAAUUUCUCUUUCUCUGACUUUCUCUGACUGGUGUAAUUAAGGGUGAUUUAAAUUUCUCUUUUUUUAUACUUUUCUGAAUUUGCCACACUCUCUGAAAUAAGUAACGUUAUUUUAAUCCUGGGAACGACCUGGCAUCACAGGCAGGGCUCUUCCUGCAGCUGGUAUGGUGGAAAGAUCGCAAGGUUCUGGGUUGGAAGAGCAGCUCCUGUCUGCAUCUGUUUCCUAUGGGCCAUGUGAUGCUGGGCAAGUGCUGUGAGCUGUGGGAGAGGCCUUGGCUUCUCACUCAGAGUCUGCUCCGGAGUAGGGAGGGAGGAGGUAGUCAGGGAGGAGGACAGCCUCUCUGCCUUGCCUUGGGGACCUACCUCCAGGUUGAAGCUGUCCAGGGCUGGGCGGAGCUUCUCCUGGCAUGUGAGACAGUCCCUCUGACAACUGCUGAACACACUGGAGAAGAGGCUGAGCAGCAGCAGGUCACAAACCAGGACUUUCAUGGUGCAGGAGCAGGAAGCAGGUGCUGGAACAUACAGGAAGCAUGGCAAGGUUGAAAAGUACCAAGAUCUGGAAUUCAAAGACUGAGAACCAGGAGAGCCAAUGGUACAAGCUCCAGUCCAAGUUCCAAGGCAGGAGAUGAUCAAUACUCCAGCUCCAAGGCCAUCAGCUUACAGGUAAUUAGACCUUGAGAAGACACAUUUGGACCUAAGAUCCUGGACUUUGAGCUGGAUAUGGCACCUGGGUCAGAUAUUGGGAUGUUGGGGGAUCUCUGGGUAGACUGUGGCAGACACUGUUGGAUCCUUGUCGAACAUUCAUCCCGCUUUCCUUUGGCCUCUUCUUCCUUGUUUACUGGUUGUGUUGGGUGCAGGUAGCAUUUGCCCAGCUGAAAGUCAUAAGUAGUGAUGGAUUUAUCCCAGUCCAGAAACCUUCAGGGCAAUGGUUUGUUUUUCUGGUUAAAAGAAUAGAUACAACUGGUGCCAGAUUUUCUCUCAUCUUCCUACCUUGAUGCAGGCAAGCUGCCUGAAGCUGUAACAAUGAGGCGACAACUAAGGAUGAUAGGGCAGAACAGGAAAAAGGAGCCUGGGCCUUUAGCCUCACUGGGCUUCUGUACCAGCUCUGCAAUUCUUAUUUCCAGAGUUCUUGUUACAUGAUAUAAUUAAGUCUUUGUUGCUUAAGCCACUAUUAACAUCAAUAUUCCAUUGCUUAGAGCUGGGAGCAUUCCUAAUGUGUACACAUGAAUGGCGAAAGUCUCAUUUUUUAAUAUUAAUUUUUUUAAGUGUCAUAAGCUGUGAUCAGUUCAGACAACCAAUCUCAGGUCCCCCUCCUAGUUUCCCUGAGGGUUGAUUGCGCAAACUACCCUACUUUCUGUGUCAUUUUUCAAAGACUGUGAAGGGUCUGAGAUUUUAUCCUGCUCGAAAGCUAGUAAGUCAGCUUGCCAGAGUUUCAUGGAUGCUGGCAGAAGGCAUGAGGCUCCUGAGUCAGAGACAAAGGACUCAGUUACUUAUUGCAAUGACUAUAGCCAGAAUACCAUCAUUUAUACUGCUUCCUUGAGCCCCAGGGAUGUGAAGAUAUUUAGAUGAUACCUGCAUACACAGUGGGGUUCAUUUCAAGAAAGGAAUCCCAAGCCUAAGUAACCUGAAUCUUUUAUGAUGACUUUAAGCCUACUUGACUUUUGCCCUGGAAGGAGACAUUAUCUUUGUUAUUCUGCACAGAGAAUAUAUAUGCCCUGCCUUCUGCUUCUGAGACCCUACCUCUGUUUUCCAAAGCUUUUCAUUCUCCAAAAUCCUUGGAAAGAUGCCCUGGAACAAAGACAGUAAUAACCUCAGCUCUAAGACAUGUAGAAAGGUUCUGCAUACCAAUGAAGCUAUUGACGUCAGCUGGUCUGAAGGACCUCACAGGAACUGACUCACCAAAGAAUGUAGUUUCCAUAUUCUGAUGAUUUCAUCCCCUUUCCUCUAACCAAUGAAGGACCUCAAUUUUCCAACCCCUUUGCCCUCCAUGAUCCCCUUAAAAACUCCAGCCUAGAGCUCCUCAGGGUGAUGGAUUUGAGGGUCUCCUUCCAUCUCCUUUCUUGGAGCCUUGUGAUCAUUAAACUCUUUCUCUGCUGCAAACUC